rnacentral:rRNA from 1 species
AUGCACGCUGGCGGCGUGCCUAAUACAUGCACGUCGAGCGAACAGACGAGGAGCUUGCUCCUCUGACGUUAGCGGCGGACGGGUGAGUAACACGUGGAUAACCUACCUAUAAGACUGGGAUAACUUCGGGAAACCGGAGCUAAUACCGGAUAAUAUAUUGAACCGCAUGGUUCAAUAGUGAAAGACGGUUUUGCUGUCACUUAUAGAUGGAUCCGCGCCGCAUUAGCUAGUUGGUAAGGUAACGGCUUACCAAGGCAACGAUGCGUAGCCGACCUGAGAGGGUGAUCGGCCACACUGGAACUGAGACACGGUCCAGACUCCUACGGGAGGCAGCAGUAGGGAAUCUUCCGCAAUGGGUGAAAGCCUGACGGAGCAACGCCGCGUGAGUGAUGAAGGUCUUCGGAUCGUAAAACUCUGUUAUUAGGGAAGAACAAAUGUGUAAGUAACUAUGCACGUCUUGACGGUACCUAAUCAGAAAGCCACGGCUAACUACGUG